GACGAACGCUGGCGGCGUGCUUAACACAUGCAAGUCGAACGGAAAGGCCCUGCUUUUGUGGGGUGCUCGAGUGGCGAACGGGUGAGUAACACGUGAGUAACCUGCCCUUGACUUUGGGAUAACUUCAGGAAACUGGGGCUAAUACCGGAUAGGAGCUCCUGCUGCAUGGUGGGGGUUGGAAGGUUUCGGCGGUUGGGGAUGGACUCGCGGCUUAUCAUCUUGUUGGUGGGGUAGUGGCUUACCAAGGCUUUGACGGGUAGCCGGCCUGAGAGGGUGACCGGCCACAUUGGGACUGAGAUACGGCCCAGACUCCUACGGGAGGCAGCAGUGGGGAAUAUUGCACAAUGGGCGGAAGCCUGAUGCAGCAACGCCGCGUGCGGGAUGACGGCCUUCGGGUUGUAAACCGCUUUCGCCUGUGACGAAGCGUGAGUGACGGUAAUGGGUAAAGAAGCACCGGCUAACUACGUG
rnacentral:rRNA from 1 species